CCGCCCAUAGCUCAACCAGGCAGAGCAGCUCCCUUUUAAGGAGAAGGUUCUAGGUUCGAUUCCUAGUGGGCGGAGCA
rnacentral:tRNA from 1 species